UGACCUNAAAUCAGGUAGGACUACCCGCUGAACUUAAGCAUAUCAAUA
rnacentral:rRNA from 1 species